UUAUUUGUUUAUAAUGUAUUACAUUCAGAGACAAUUGUGUGUGUAGGCCGAAGCCACGGUGCACAGAGGUGUUAAAAGCCCGAGAGCUUAUAUCUAUAAUGAUCCUUCCGCAGGUUCACCUACGGAAA
rnacentral:misc_RNA from 1 species